AGCUUUGCACAGCGGCAGUAUCACAGCCAGUGAGAUUUACCCAAGGCAUGAUUACUGCUAACAGAUUUCCAUUUUAUUAAAAGGCCACUAUAUUUAUCUUUGUUUUUUUUAAUAAUUAUUAAGUCCUAGCUCUAU
ensembl:snRNA U4 U4 spliceosomal RNA